AAUGAACGGAAUAUUAGAGCAACAAAUGUCCUAUUUUCAGCUGGCCUGUGUUUCUUCUCAUCACAUGAGGAGAAACUGUCGAAGUGAAAUAUAUUGACUCCAGCUAACAAAUUAGCAGGACAGGCUGUUGUUCCCUAAGCAUUCUAAAACUGCAUUAAGACUUCACACAGACCAAGCAAUGAAACCAGUUCAACAGAACUUUUGGUUUUUCUUCAACCCAUAUUUCUUUCUCUUUUGAUAAACUUCAUGAUUCAAAAGGUUGAAGGAAGCUUUAUUGUCAAAUUCGGCUAAGGAGCAUAGUGGUAGAUUGAGGGAAGACAUUGCUAAACCAGAGCAAGCUCAACAGAGGUCCCUGGUUAGGCUUAGUAAGGGUAUUUAACAAAUAGCUGACAUUAAUUUAUUUUUGAUACCAGACUCAAUCGCAUGUAUGAUGUGCUCUUUGUUGACAAGCAACAGAGAAGCAAACGUGUAAUUUCAAGAGGAAACCAUCAGAAAUAUAAACAUAUAUGAGACCAGAAUUCUUUCUUGAAGGAUGCAUCAGAAAGCCUGGUACGAAUUUGAUGCCUCACCUUGCAAUGCAUUACAGUCUGCUUAAUUAAGCCAUUAGCUACAAGCAGCAAAUAAAUAAAAUUGGAAUGGUAGGUGCAAAGAAACACAUAGGUUCACCAGUCUGGUUCCAAAGGUAAUGCUGUGCCUGUACAAAUGUCAAAUAUAUAGUUAAGAUAAUUUGUAUUAGUGACGACAGCACAAAUUUUACAGGAACUGGAAACUUUGUUCUACAUAGGUUAUCUUUCUGUAAAGAUCAGGUAGUCAUAAAAAUAUUGGAUAAGAAAUCAGACAUAACGUGGACCAUGACUGUUAAACUAUAUUUCAUAAUCACCUAUUGUUUGGACAGACUGGCCUUGGAAGCCUCACCCUUUCACAGGUGUAGAAGUAUAAAUUCUGAUGCUCUGUGUUAUUGGCACCUCUUGGCAAGAUGGGUACCAACAAGAUCUUGCUUUUCCUCUUAAGUACAGCUCUUCUGGAUGCCACCGCAGUUACAACUACCUCAAGAAGCUCUCUGGGCACAAGUACAUUUCCAGACAAAACAACCACACUGACCCGAGAUCCCACCACAACUCCCGGUACGUCUGCAUCUCCCGUGGCUCCUUUCUGUGCAUUCUUCUCGGGCGGCACUGGUUAGCAGCCCAAAAAACUUGGCUGUCUGAUGCUGCCCAGUGUCAGGUUUGGAUGGGCAGGAGGUGGUGCUGGGU
rnacentral:lncRNA from 1 species